GAUGAACGCUGGCGGCGUGCCUAAUACAUGCAAGUCGAGCGAACGGACGAGAAGCUUGCUUCUCUGAUGUUAGCGGCGGACGGGUGAGUAACACGUGGAUAACCUACCUAUAAGACUGGGAUAACUUCGGGAAACCGGAGCUAAUACCGGAUAAUAUUUUGAACCGCAUGGUUCAAUAGUGAAAGACGGUCUUGCUGUCACUUAUAGAUGGAUCCGCGCUGCAUUAGCUAGUUGGUAAGGUAACGGCUUACCAAGGCAACGAUGCAUAGCCGACCUGAGAGGGUGAUCGGCCACACUGGAACUGAGAAAAGGUCCAGACUCCUACGGGAGGCAGCAGUAGGGAAUCUUCCGCAAUGGGCGAAAGCCUGAAGGAGCAAAGCCGCGUGAGUGAUGAAGGUCUUCGGAUCGUAAAACUCUGUUAUUAGGGAAGAACAUAUGUGGAAGGAACUGUGCACAGCUUGACGGUACCUAAUCAGAAAGCCAAGGCUAAAUAAGUG
rnacentral:rRNA from 1 species